rnacentral:rRNA from 1 species
AGUGAACGCUGGCGGUAGGCCUAACACAUGCAAGUCGAACGGCAGCACAGUAAGAGCUUGCUCUUAUGGGUGGCGAGUGGCGGACGGGUGAGGAGUACAUCGGAAUCUACUUUUUCGUGGGGGAUAACGUAGGGAAACUUACGCUAAUACCGCAUACGACCUACGGGUGAAAGCAGGGGAUCUUCGGACCUUGCGCGAUUGAAUGAGCCGAUGUCGGAUUAGCUAGUUGGCGGGGUAAAGGCCCACCAAGGCGACGAUCCGUAGCUGGUCUGAGAGGAUGAUCAGCCACACUGGAACUGAGACACGGUCCAGACUCCUACGGGAGGCAGCAGUGGGGAAUAUUGGACAAUGGGCGCAAGCCUGAUCCAGCCAUACCGCGUGGGUGAAGAAGGCCUUCGGGUUGUAAAGCCCUUUUGUUGGGAGAGAAAAGCAGCAGGUUAAUACCCCGCUGUUCUGACGGUACCCAAAGAAUAAGCACCGGCUAACUUCGUG